rnacentral:rRNA from 1 species
GCAGUCGAACGAUGAUCCCUAGCUUGCUGGGGGGAUUAGUGGCGAACGGGUGAGUAACACGUGAGUAACCUGCCCUUGACUCUGGGAUAAGCCUGGGAAACCGGGUCUAAUACUGGAUACGACCUUCCCACGCAUGUGGUGUUGGUGGAAAGCUUUUGUGGUUUUGGAUGGACUCGCGGCCUAUCAGCUUGUUGGUGGGGUAAUGGCCUACCAAGGCGACGACGGGUAGCCGGCCUGAGAGGGUGACCGGCCACACUGGGACUGAGACACGGCCCAGACUCCUACGGGAGGCAGCAGUGGGGAAUAUUGCACAAUGGGCGCAAGCCUGAUGCAGCGACGCCGCGUGAGGGAUGAAGGCCUUCGGGUUGUAAACCUCUUUCAGUAGGGAAGAAGCCGCUCUUUCGGGGUGGUGACGGUACCUGCAGAAGAAGCGCCGGCUAACUACGUGCCAGCAGCCGCGGUAAUACGUAGGGCGCAAGCGUUAUCCGGAAUUAUUGGGCGUAAAGAGCUCGUAGGCGGUUUGUCGCGUCUGCCGUGAAAGUCCGGGGCUUAACUCCGGAUCUGCGGUGGGUACGGGCAGACUAGAGUGCAGUAGGGGAGACUGGAAUUCCUGGUGUAGCGGUGAAAUGCGCAGAUAUCAGGAGGAACACCGAUGGCGAAGGCAGGUCUCUGGGCUGUAACUGACGCUGAGGAGCGAAAGCAUGGGGAGCGAACAGGAUUAGAUACCCUGGUAGUCCAUGCCGUAAACGUUGGGCACUAGGUGUGGGGGACAUUCCACGUUUUCCGCGCCGUAGCUAACGCAUUAAGUGCCCCGCCUGGGGAGUACGGCCGCAAGGCUAAAAC